GACGAACGCUGGCGGCGUGCCUAACACAUGCAAGUCGAACGGAAAGGCCCUGCUUUUGUGGGGUGCCCGAGUGGCGAACGGGUGAGUAACACGUGAGUAACCUGCCCUUGACUUUGGGAUAACUUCAGGAAACUGGGGCUAAUACCGGAUAGGAGCUCCUGUUGCAUGGUGGGGGUUGGAAAGUUUCGGCGGUUGGGGAUGGACUCGCGGCUUACCAGCUUGCUGGUGGGGUAGUGGCUUACCAAGGCUUUGACGGGUAGCCGGACUGAGAGGGUGACCGGCCACAUUGGGACUGAGAUACGGCCCAGACUCCUACGGGAGGCAGCAGUGGGGAAUAUUGCACAAUGGGCGGAAGCCUGAUGCAGCAACGCCGCGUGCGGGAUGACGGCCUUCGGGUUAUAAACCGCUUUCGCCUGUAACGAAGCGUGAGUGACGGUAAUGUGUAAAGAAGCAACGGCUAACUACGUG
rnacentral:rRNA from 1 species